AGAGUUUGAUCCUGGCUCAGAACGAACGCUGGCGGCGUGGAUAAGACAUGCAAGUCGAACGGGAUUUUUCGUUGUAGCAAUACGAUGGAAAGUCUAGUGGCGAACGGGUGCUUAACACGUGGGCAACCUGCCAAGAAGUGGGGGGAUAGCUCGCCGAAAGGCGAAUUAAUACCGCAUGUGAUUAGAGAGGACAUCCUUUCGAAAUUAAAGUCGGGGCAACCUGACGCUUUUUGUGGGGCCCGCGGCCUAUCAGCUAGUUGGUGAGGUAACGGCUCACCAAGGCUUUGACGGGUAGCUGGUCUGAGAGGACGACCAGCCACACUGGGACUGAGACACGGCCCAGACACCUACGGGUGGCAGCAGUCGAGAAUUUUUGACAAUGGGGGAAACCCUGAUCGAGCGACGCCGCGUGGAGGAUGAAGGUCUUCGGAUUGUAAACUCCUGUCAUUGGGGAACAAGGUGCAUACGUUAACUGCGUGUGCAUUGAUAGUACCCGAAGAGGAAGAGACGGCUAACUCUGUGCCAGCAGCCGCGGUAAUACAGAGGUCUCAAGCGUUGUUCGGAUUCAUUGGGCGUAAAGGGUGCGUAGGCGGCGCGGUAAGUCGGGUGUGAAAUCUCGGAGCUUAACUCCGAAACUGCAUUCGAUACUGCCGUGCUUGAGGACUGGAGAGGAGACUGGAAUUUACGGUGUAGCGGUGAAAUGCGUAGAUAUCGUAAGGAAGACCAGUGGCGAAGGCGGGUCUCUGGACAGUUCCUGACGCUGAGGCACGAAGGUCAGGGGAGCAAACGGGAUUAGAUACCCCAGUAGUCC
rnacentral:rRNA from 1 species